UGGGGAAUCUUGCGCAAUGGGCGAAAGCCUGACGCAGCCAUGCCGCGUGUAUGAUGAAGGUCUUAGGAUUGUAAAAUACUUUCACCGGUGAAGAUAAUGACUGUAGCCGGAGAAGAAGCCCCGGCUAACUUCGUGCCAGCAGCCGCGGUAAUACGAAGGGGGCUAGCGUUGCUCGGAAUUACUGGGCGUAAAGGGAGCGUAGGCGGACAUUUAAGUCAGAGGUGAGAUCCCGGAGCUUAACUUCGGAACUGCCUUUGAUACUGGGUGUCUUGAGUGUGAGAGAGGUAUGUGGAACUCCGAGUGUAGAGGUGAAAUUCGUAGAUAUUCGGAAGAACACCAGUGGCGAAGGCGACAUACUGGCUCAUUACUGACGCUGAGGCUCGAAAGCGUGGGGAGCAAACAGGAUUAGAUACCCAAGUAGUCCCUGAGCGGGCUGGCAAGGCGCAU
rnacentral:rRNA from 1 species